rnacentral:rRNA from 1 species
GACGAACGCUGGCGGCGUGCUUAACACAUGCAAGUCGAACGGAAAGGCCCUGCUUUUGUGGGGUGCUCGAGUGGCGAACGGGUGAGUAACACGUGAGUAACCUGCCCUUGACUUUGGGAUAACUUCAGGAAACUGGGGCUAAUACCGGAUAGGAGCUCCUGCUGCAUGGUGGGGGUUGGAAAGUUUCGGCGGUUGGGGAUGGACUCGCGGCUUAUCAGCUUGUUGGUGGGGUAGUGGCUUACCAAGGCUUUGACGGGUAGCCGGCCUGAGAGGGUGACCGGCCACAUUGGGACUGAGAUACGGCCCAGACUCCUACGGGAGGCAGCAGUGGGGAAUAUUACACAAUGGGCGUAAGCCUGAUGCAGCCACUCCGCGUGCGGGAUGACGGCCUUCGGGUUGUAAACCGCUUUCGCCUGUGACGAAGCGUGAGUGACGGUAAUGGGUAAAGAAGCACCGGCUAACUACGUG